UGUGUAUGUGUGUGUGUGUGUGUGUGUGUGUGUGUAACUCAAUGCAAAAGCUGUAACAACAGACAGGUUCUGCUGCACUCGAGUGUAAGUGG